CGUUUAGGGGUAAACCUGAGAAACCCGAAAAAUCGAAGGAAGAAAUUCAUUCGUGUUUCGUGGCAAACAAUUAUCGGCUUGUAUGACAAGCGCUAAUGUUAAUAGCGUGAGCAUCGGCUAUUUUUGAAUUUGCAGCGAACACGUGCACUUUUCUUCUGGUAGAACGUCGCGAUCCGUUGGGUGCCGGUCUACGAUUUCCUGAGGAGAUCAAACGUUACACGUGUUUGUGCGUGGACACGUUUGAACCUGUGAUUCUCCGACCGGCUCGCCCGACGGUAUAUUGAAACGGUUUAGGGCCGCUCUAGGAGCGUUCGUCUCCUAACAAGCGCGCUAGUUGUGUUGUGAAGAACGGCCUUCGGGCCGUUCCCAAUCACUAGUGACUGUUGGUUAGGAUGUUCUCGAACAGACCCUUAGAUGUAUGCACAUAAAAACCGAUCUGCGACGCUAUAGCUUUGGGUACUUUCAGGACCCGUCUUGAAACACGGACCAAGGAGUCUAGCAUGUACGCAAGUCAUUGGGACAAACGAAACCUAAAGGCGAAACAAAAGUAAAGAUCUUCCUUGUGAGGAUCUAGGGAAGACGACUGGUCCGGCUUUUUAGUCGGCCGUCUGCAUUCCCGGGGUGUCUCAUUCUCAUCGCGAGAAGGGGCGCACCAUGAGCGUACAUGCUGGGACCCGAAAGAUGGUGAACUAUGCCUGGUCAGGAUGAAGUCAGGGGAAACCCUGAUGGAGGUCCGUAGCGAUUCUGACGUGCAAAUCGAUCGUCGGAACUGGGUAUAGGGGCGAAAGACUAAUCGAACCAUC
rnacentral:rRNA from 1 species